rnacentral:rRNA from 1 species
GAUGAACGCUGGCGGCGUGCCUAAUACAUGCAAGUCGAGCGAAUGGAUUAAGAGCUUGCUCUUAUGAAGCUAGCGGCGGACGGGUGAGUAACACGUGGGUAACCUGCCCAUAAGACUGGGAUAACUCCGGGAAACCGGGGCUAAUACCGGAUAACAUUUUGAACCGCAUGGUUCGAAAUUGAAAGGCGGGUUCGGCUGUCACUUAUGGAUGGACCCGGGUCGCAUUAGCUAGUUGGUGAGGUAACGGCUCACCAAGGCAACGAUGCGUAGCCGCACUGAGAGGGUGAUCGGCAACACUGGGACUGAGACACGGCCCAGACUCCUACGGGAGGCAGCAGUAGGGAAUCUUCCGCAAUGGACGAAAGUCUGACGGAGCAACGCCGCGUGAGUGAUGAAGGCUUUCGGGUCGUAAAACUCUGUUGUUAGGGAAGAACAAGUGCUAGUUGAAUAAGCUGGCACCUUGACGGUACCUAACCAGAAAGCCACGGCUAACUACGUGCCAGCCGCCGCAGUAA